UAUAUCAUUAGGUGGGGAUAAAUUCAUCUUGUACAGGAGUGAACAGAGAAGGAGUCAUCAUGGCAGCGGGCAGCAGAGGAGAGAUGCUGCUGAUGCUGGUCUACCUGCUCUGCUGCGUACCUGCAGCUGAGACCUGCCUGCAAUGUGAGCGCAUCAUCAGGCUCCUUCAUGAAGACCUCAUCCUUUCAGCUCCAACAGUUAAAGAUCAGAUAGAGCUGGCUUUGAUUUGUGACCAUGCCUAUGAGAACUACAAGCUAACAAGUCGUCAAAGAAAGGGUGUCAUUGAUCCCACGACUCUGUACAGAGUCAGAACUGAGUACCAAAGUGAAUUUAAUCGCUUCUGGAACAUGAAUAAAAGUGGGUCGAUAACUUCAAAAACCAUUCAGAUUAUGGAGAAAGGCAAUAGGAUCUUGGAGAAACACUUGGACACUUUCAUCAGUGACGGACUCUGCCCCAACAAGUGUGGAUUUCUCAAAAGAAGAGUAAUUGACUGCCUUACCUGCAAGUUCAAGACGUACAUUUGCCCCUCUCCAUCCGGUCAGCCCAACUGUGGUGAAACCCCAGUGCAAGCUGAAGAAGGAGGCCAGGUGGUGUUCAGCUGUUACCAACCAUGGCAUUAUCUUAUUUCAGGAAAACCAGAAUACUACUACUCCUGGGCCCCGGUAGUGCCAGGAACUAAAAAGCUAAACGAAAGUGACUUUGUGCCCUUGGUGGUGACGCAUGACUCCUCUGUGGUCUUAAAUCAGCUGCAACUGGAUGAACAAGGAACCUAUCGCUGCUCCCUGCAGGAGGAAAACAGGACCGUCUUUUACCAAGUUACCUUCCUUCUUACAGUGACUCCUUUGCCUUGCCAGACUCUCAGAUCUUUUGUCACCCUGCCCUCGCUACCGUAUGGAGACAGCGACUCACCCCUCCAGCCCACAAAGGCCCGGCUGGUGCCAGUCAUUGCCAUGGCUGCUGCACUGAGUCUGAUCGUGAGCGUAGGCCUCACAGUUGCUCUGGGAUUGAUAAUGACUCAGAAGAGAGAAGUCAACAACCUAAGACAGAGAUGGAGGAAUGUGACAGAAGAUACAGAGAAUACUGCAUUACAACUAUCGUAAAGAAAAAAAUUAUUCUCCAAUGAAUAAAAAAGUUUAAAGUUUUU
rnacentral:lncRNA from 1 species